AUUGAACGCUGGCGGCAGGCCUAACACAUGCAAGUCGAACGGUAACAGGAAGCAGCUUGCUGCUUUGCUGACGAGUGGCGGACGGGUGAGUAAUGUCUGGGAAACUGCCUGAUGGAGGGGGAUAACUACUGGAAACGGUAGCUAAUACCGCAUAACGUCGCAAGACCAACGAGGGGGACCUUCGGGCCUCUUGCCAUCGGAUGUGCUCAGAUGGGAUUAGCUAGUAGGUGGGGUAACGGCUCACCUAGGCGACGAUCCCUAGCUGGUCUGAGAGGAUGACCAGCCACACUGGAACUGAGACACGGUCCAGACUCCUACGGGAGGCAGCAGUGGGGAAUAUUGCACAAUGGGCGCAAGCCUGAUGCAGCCAUGCCGCGUGUAUGAAGAAGGCCUUCGGGUUGUAAAGUACUUUCAGCGGGGAGGAAGGUGUUGAGGUUAAUAACCUCAGCAAUUGACGUUACCCGCAGAAGAAGCACCGGCUAACUCCGUGCCAGCCGCCGCGGUAA
rnacentral:rRNA from 1 species